rnacentral:rRNA from 1 species
GACGAAGGGGGCUAGCGUUGUUCGGAAUUACUGGGCUUAAAGCGCGUGUAGGCGGUUGUCCAAGUUGGAUGUGAAAGCCUUGAGCUCAACUCAAGAAAUGCACUCGGUACUGGGUGACUAGAGGACCGGAGAGGAUAGUGGAAUUCCCAGUGUAGUGGUGAAAUACGUAGAGAUUGGGAAGAACACCAGUGGCGAAGGCGGCUAUCUGGACGGUUUCUGACGCUAAGACGCGAAAGCGUGGGGAGCAAACAGG